ACAACAACAACAGCUGCCUCCACCACCACAACAGCGGCCACCACCACCACAACACCUGCCACAACAACAACAACGGCAGCCACCACCACCACAGCCCCAGUCACUACAACAACAACAGCUGCCACCACCACUACAGCUGCCACCACCACCACAACACCUGCCACAACAACAACAACAAUGGCUGCCACCACCACCACAGUCCCAGCAACUACUACAACAAAAGCUGCCACCACCACAACAGCGGCCACCACCACCACAACAGCGGCCACCACCACCACAACACCUGCCACAACAACAACAACGGCAGCCACCACCAGCACAGCCCCAGCCACUACAACAACAACAGCUGCCACCACCACCCCAGCUGCCACCACCACCACAGCUGCCACCACCACCACAACACCUGCCACAACAACAACAACAACGGCUCCCACUACCACCACAGCACCAACUACAAAAACAACAGCUGCCACCACCACCACAACACCAGCGACAACAACGGCUCCCACAACCACUGCCCCAGCCAUUACAACAACAACAGCUGCCACCACCACCACAGCUGCCACUACCACCACAACACCUGCCACAACAACAACAACGGCAGCCACCACCACAACACCUGCCACAACAACAACAACGGCAGCCACCACCACCACAACACCUGCCACAACAACAACAACAACAACGGCUCCCACUACCACCACAGCACCAACUACAAAAACAACAGCUGCCACCACCACAACCGCGGCCACCACCACCACCACAACACCUGCCACAACAACAACAACAACAACAAUGGCUCCCACUACCACCACAGCACCAACUACAAAAACAGCAGCUGCCACCACCACAACACCUGCCACCACCACCUCAGUACCAGCUACAACUGCAACGACAGCUUUCACCACCACCACAGCAGCCACCACCACCACAACACCUGCCACAACAACAACAACAACGGCUCCCACUACCACCACAGCAGCAACUACAACAACAACAACAGCUGCCACCACAACUACAUCUGCCACCACCACCUCAGUCCCAGUCUCUACGUCAACGACUGCUUCCACCACCCCCGUUCUUGUUGUUUUCAGAUCCAUUGAAAGUAAUUUUACAAAUGACUUGUUGAAUUCAUCAUCUGAAGCUUUUAAAACUCGAGCUGCAAUUAUAAAGGCACAGCUGGAACCUCCUUACAGAAUUGCGUUCCCUUCCUUGGUCUCCUUGAAUGUUGUGAGCUUCAGGCAGGGAUCAGUCAUCAACACCAUAGAACUUCAGUUUGUAAACACAUCUGUACCAAACAACACUGCGAUUAGCAAUGUUUUGAACAGUACAGCCUCAAACGUUUCAGGCUUUGACAUCGAAAGGGCCUCCAUCACUGUCAAUGACACAUCUGCUGCAUCAACUACUACAUCAACUACUACAACUGUUGUACCAACAACUACAGCAUCCACAAGUAAAACUGCUGUAUCUACAACUACGGCUUCAAGUGGAGUAUGCCACAAGAUUAAUUCCAGCACUGUUUUACCCCUGGUGCUGCUGUUAUGGCUUCUAUCAAGCCAGCAAUAGCAUCUGUGCUGGUUUCCAUGUGAAAGGCAAGCAGAAGAUGAUGCAACUCUUUAUUUAUUGGACACAUCAGAAAGAGUAGAUUUGCUAUAUUUUUCAAUAUGAAAAUAUUUCUGGGUGGGAAUGACCCUGGUAUAAACAGAAUGACACAGACAAAGGCAAUAGAUUAAAACAUAUGGGUGUUAUAUCUUAAAGGCUUAGUAGUUUAUGCUGUUCAAUUCAUUUCAAUUCAAUUUUAUUUAUAUAGCGCCAAACCACACUAACAGUCACCUCAAGGUAAUUUAUAUUGUGAAGUACCUUGCAUUGUAUUAUAAGGUAAAGACCCCACAAAGACCUCCUUGCUUGUAAGUGUGUCUCUGCCUACAUGUCUGUUAACUGUUCCUCUUUCAUGUAGAAAAAAAGACUAAACAUAAAAAAUAUAUAGAAAGAACUUUUUAACAAAAUCAUCCCCAACAGCUCUUAUUAUAUUUUCUAAAUGCAAAUGAUAUGUUUUAGGUUUCACUUCAUAUAGAGCAUACACAGCAUAUAUAUCACAAAUAUAUCUAUCUAUCUCUCUCUCUCUCUAUAUAUAUAUACAUAUAUAUAUAUAUAUAUAUAUAUAUAUAUAUAUAUAUGUAUGUAUAAUAAAGUGUAAUGAGUAGUUCUACAUACAUACAUACAUACAAAUUGUAUUUGUAUUGUUUGACAUGUCUUUUAAUUUUUACAUUUUCUGUAAGAAAGUCACAAUGACCAG
ensembl:lncRNA